rnacentral:rRNA from 1 species
GACAGAGGGGGCAAGCGUUGCUCGGAAUUACUGGGCGUAAAGGGCGCGUAGGCGGGAUGGCAAGUCGGUCGUGAAAUCCCUCGGCUCAACCGAGGAACGUCGAUCGAUACUGCUGUUCUUGAGGAUUGCAGAGGAGACUGGAAUUCCCGGUGUAGCGGUGAAAUGUGUAGAGAUCGGGAGGAACACCGGUGGCGAAGGCGGGUCUCUGGGCAAUUCCUGACGCUGAGGCGCGAAAGCGUGGGUAGCAAACAGG